CAUGUCAAAAAAGUGCUGCUAGCUAAAAUUACCGACACUUUUAAAAAGUGUUGCUAUAUGUGGGGUCGCUAGGUAUAUAAUGACAGUUAAAGAGUGUCGCUAUAACCUAAAAGAGUGCUGCUAAUUUACCAACAACUUAUUUAAGCAUUUAGCAACCGCCAAAACUCUAUCUCGUUGGCUGCGGUGGUGGAGGAGGACGAUAGGAAUGGCUUUUCGUCUAGAAUUUCAGUGGAUUGAGUGAAGAGAGAAGAAAAUAUGGUAAUUGAUUUUUUUUUUUUCUUUUCUGUUUGUAAUCGGGCCAAAUGGACUGGGUGUGCUGGGUUGAGUAGAGUAAUCUUUUAUUUUUGGUUGGAUUGGACUUUAUAUUUAGGCAUUAGUAGAUGUUUUUUUAAGUUUCAGCAUAAAUGAGACACUUACUUAAAAGUGUCCCAAACAUGUGUCCCUAUAUAUUAUAUUUGUUAUU
rnacentral:lncRNA from 1 species